GCCGGAGUGUUGGAAUCGGUAGACAAGAUCGCCUCAAAAGCGAUUGCCCUAACGGGCGUGUGGGUUCGAGUCCCACCUCCGGCACCG
rnacentral:tRNA from 1 species